UACGGGGGGGGCAAGCGUUGUUCGGAAUUACUGGGCGUAAAGGGCGCGUAGGCGGCCUGCUAAGUCGGACGUGAAAUCCCUCGGCUCAACCGGGGAACUGCGUCCGAUACUGGCGAGGCUUGAGUUCGGGAGAGGGAUGCGGAAUUCCAGGUGUAGCGGUGAAAUGCGUAGAUAUCUGGAGGAACACCGGUGGCGAAGGCGGCAUCCUGGACCGACACUGACGCUGAGGAGCGAAAGCCAGGGGAGCAAACGGG
rnacentral:rRNA from 1 species